rnacentral:rRNA from 1 species
GCGAGAGCUGUGCCAGCGGCGGGGGUAAUACGUGGGGGGCAAGCGUUAAUCGGAAUUACUGGGCGGAAAGCUGGCGCAGGCGGUUUAUUAAGUCAGAUGUGAAAUCCCGAGGCUCAACCUAGGAACUGCAUUUGAAACUAAUGAACUAGAGUAUCGUAGAGGGAGGUAGAAUUCCAGGUGUAGCGGUGAAAUGCGUAGAUAUCUGGAGGAAUACCAGUGGCGAAGGCGACCUCCUGGACGAUAACUGACGCUCAAGCACGAAAGCAUGGGGAGCAAACAGGAUUAGAUACCCGAGUAGUC